UACGAAGGGAGCUAGCGUUGUUCGGAAUUACUGGGCGUAAAGCGCACGUAGGCGGGCUUUUAAGUCAGGGGUGAAAUCCCGGGGCUCAACCUCGGAACUGCCUUUGAUACUGGAAGUCUCGAGGUCGAGAGAGGUGAGCGGAAUUCCUAGUGUAGAGGUGAAAUUCGUAGAUAUUAGGAAGAACACCGGUGGCGAAGGCGGCGCACUGGCUCGAUACUGACGCUGAGGUGCGAAAGCGUGGGGAGCAUACAGG
rnacentral:rRNA from 1 species